UUGAGAUCCAAACGCCAAUUUUCAAAAUUUUGUCUCCGCCAAAACAUCUUUCCCAUCCCUCCUUACUAUAUAACGGUCUGAAAAUGCUUUCCCUCUCUCCCUCUAUCCUUCUAUCUUUACGAAUCUUCUUCAUUACAUGGCUUCUUCAGAUCCCAUCUCUUCUCGCCACUACACUUACAACAGAAAACAAAAAUCUCUAGGCCUUCUCUGCACUAAUUUCUUGAGCUUGUACAACCGAGACACCGUUCACUUGAUUGGCCUAGACGAUGCUGCCACCCGAUUAGGUGUUGAGAGACGGCGGAUCUAUGACAUUGUGAAUGUCCUGGAGAGUAUCGGGGUACUCUCAAGGAAAGCAAAAAAUCAAUACACAUGGAGAGGGUUUGCCGCAAUCCCUCUCACUCUACAGGAUCUCAAGGAAGAGGGGUUGAAGGAGAAUUCUAAUUCCCUACGUGGGCCUGGAAACCAUGAUAAAGUUUCCGACGACGAAGAUGACGAGGAAACACAGUCCAAUCCCGCCGCUACUGGAAGUCAAAGUGACAAGUUGAACCCUAAUUCUACUCUUCCUAAACCUCUGAAAAAUGAAAAUCGAAGAGAAAAAUCUCUGGCUCUGCUUACCCAGAAUUUUGUCAAGCUCUUUGUCUGCUCUAAUGUGGAAUUGAUCUCCCUUGACGAGGCUGCAAAAUUGCUACUUGGGGAUGCCCAUAAUACGUCUGUAAUGAGAACUAAAGUUAGACGCCUAUAUGACAUCGCAAAUGUGCUAUCCUCCAUGAACCUUAUUGAGAAGACCCAUACAAUGGAUACACGAAAACCAGCAUUCAGGUGGCUCGGUUCUGAAGGGAAGACAUGGGAUGAGACACUUCACAAAUCAAACCUAAACGACUCUAGGAAAAGGGCGUUUGGAAGUGAUAUCACUAACAUCAGUUUUGAGAGGAAUAAAGUGGAAUUGUUCACGAGUGGGGACUUGAAUCCGAAUCCUAAGAAGCCAAGAAUGGAAAAUGGUAGUGGGCUGGGUGAGGCAGACGAAAACAAUUUAAAACAAGGCAUAAAACAAGCUUCAAAGAGCUAUGAAUUUGGUCCUUUCGCUCCAGCUUGCGUGCCCAAAGUUGGAGCCUCUCAGAAUAAUAAUAUGAAGCAGGUGCAUGACUGGGGCAGUCUUGCAACUGCACAUAGCCCUCAGUAUCAAAAUGAAGCCGAGGGAUAGGUCAGCUUCCUCCAACCGUUAUCCUACAUAAAAAAACUGGUUCUUAGACAUAUGAACCGUAAGAACUGGCGUCGGAGCCUUGAGAGAACUCUUCUCCCAUUACAUGGAAGCAUGGAAAUUGUGGUACUCAGAAAUUGCUAGGAAGAGGCCAUUACAAAUUUUGUAAACGUAUGCCAAAGUCAAACUAUAGGUAUGUUUGGAUUUAGUAAAAUUUAGUCUGGAAACUUGGUUUCAGAGAAGCAAGACUUGGGAUACUAGUGUAAACUUAAGUUUGCAAAUUUUAAUCCAAACAUGGGGUGUAACUUUCCUCACUAGAGAAUAUCUGUAGUAUGCAUUCUCUUCAUGCGUUUGUAGAGCUGAGCUUCCAUUUACUGCCUUUUCAACCGUGAUGUUGACCGACUGAAUCAGCUUAGGCAGUUCUUGCAAAUUAUUUAUCACAUUUGUUUGUUGUAUAGUUUCUACCCUUUAUUUAAUGUAGCAGGAAAUCUUGUGCACUACUCCUGUACUGCAGUCUGGAGCUGCUAAUUUAAGGAAAAUAAAAUUCGAGUUGUUUUAAAGGUUUCCAAA